GCGCAUCUUCAUGUUCUUCGCUUCUCUCAUCGGCGGAAGGAACGAUUCGGAUUUCUGUAACGCUAUGUGUUGUGAUUUUCCGUCUUAAAUCCUCUUAAUUAGCAAGCCCACUCCAAGACCUUUCGAUUGCGUUGUUCGUCGGCGAAAUCGUAGGCCAGACUGCUUCGAUUCUGGGAGGUUAGGAAUGUUAAGCGUGGUGGGAGCUUAAGUGGAUGGAUUUGCUCAUGGUGGAUGUUAAUGCAACCAUGAUGCUAGUGACGAUCAGUUCAAGCCUUCUCCCACAAUACCGGGAGAGACUCAUUGCCGGAACAAUGUUUUCCAUGUCCGGUUUUGAUGUCUCUAGAUGUGCACAGAGCUUCCGGCUCACGAGUCUUCUCUGUUGAUCAGGUUCAACGAGAACACCAUUUUCGAGGAGAUAACUGAUCCAUAUCCCCCUUGCCCGAGGAAGCAUUUCGGUUUCGUAACCAUUCUGAGAUGAUUGGUUUAGCCAAUACAAACAUUCAAUUGCCAGGUAUAUUGCUCCCAAUUGACACGUACCUCUUAUAUUGUUGAACUUCUGUGUGUAAAGAGUAUGGUCUGUUUAUAUUUGUAAGAAAGUGAUAUAUAUCUCAUACUUUAUGUAGACGUCAUAGGUGAAAUACUUGGUGUGAAAAGCAUCAGUUUAGUCUAAAGACAU